rnacentral:misc_RNA from 1 species
AACGCACCUUGCACCGUAUGAGCAAUCGUACGGUAUACCUGUUUGAGAAUCGUAAAACUCUCUUUCUACUACCCUUUGGGGUUUGUGGAAGAUUUGUUGGUUGUGCACCUCGGUGUACUCUGAUUAAAAGAAUCAAGUCUGGAUUUGGCUGGUGGCCAAGGACACUGUGUGCUAGAGACGUCGCUUCGGCUGACUGUCUUCUCACAGUGCGUCCUGGGCUAUUCAAAGCUGGUCUCAUCCUAGACUUUUUCAGUGCGGUCCUCGCGGCCACACAACCUUUUUUUUUGAUCUCAAAUCAGGUAAGGCUACCCGCUGAACUUAA